ensembl:snRNA U6 U6 spliceosomal RNA
GUGCUUCAGCAGCACAUACACUGAGAGAGAAACAAUACAGAGAAGAUCAGUAUGGCUCCUGCACAAGGAUGUCACACAAAUUUGGGAAGCAUUCCAUAUUUGC